rnacentral:lncRNA from 1 species
AACAAACACUCUUCAGGUGUCCAAAUGCAGGAAGACAGAGGAGAACAUCCUCCCACACUGACCUUCACAAAAGCACACUUCAGAGCACGUGACUGUACCUUAUUCCUCUUCUGAUGGCUUCUGUUGGAGCACACGUUAUGGUAUCGAUACAGUCAGUUCUGCGAUACUGCUUAUUAUCCAGGAACCACCCGGAGUCUGCCAAGCCGCGAACCUGGAUCCCUUGGUAGCCCAUCUCCUCCAGCUGCUCUGCCACACGAUCCACGUUCAGCAGCACUCCUGUUCCUCCAGCACUGCAACAGCAAUUUGAGUACUGCAGUGACGAUGCAGAUAUGGCCACGGCACGGCUGCUAGCAUACGUCUCCUCUCACAGCAGCCACACUCUAAACAACUUCAUUUACCCACAGGACAGCCCCGUGGAGAACAGGUGGAGGGUUUGCUGCUGAGGCCUCUUUCCAAAGGGCUUUCUGCUGUGGAUGCCCUGCAGACACAUACCUGCUCCCUGCCAGCAGCAGCACUUUUGCAGUGCUAAGACCUUUUCCCACGAGCUCCUUGAUGACCUCCUGGAUGAUCAGCGCUCCCAUGAAGGCAUAUUCAUCUGAAACAGAGACCUCAGUGUCAACAAAGCUGUUUCCUGCCCAGGGUUAGACCUUCCCUUCCCCUCCACAAAUGCAUAAGAACAUUACAGAAGGACCACAGAUCUAAACACUGGCCUGUUCCCUCCACCUGCAUGUCCCCCCGUGUUAAACUUCCCUGAAAGAAGUGAAUAAGCAGUGAACAGAAUACAAGGUAACACCAGCAGGCCUUCCUACAGAGUGCUCAGUAAUUGGUGAGCUAAGAGAAGGAAAAGGAGAGCAAAGCAGACUGUUUCUGUAGGUAUUACUCCUUGUAACAUCUUAACUCAGUGAGCACCAGGUGAAACAGAUCACAGGUAUGAAAUUCAGCUCCAUCUGGGAGAGGACUCCUCCAGGCAGAUGCUGAGUUCUGGCAUUAUCAAAAGGACAGCUGAUGCAAAGCGGGCACAUAUGCAAAGCAACGAUUCUUUUUGCAAAGAAUUCUGCGGAUAGCUUUAGUGUGACACGCAAGAGCUCCUUUCCAAGGACAGAAAUCUCCCCGAGACAAGUUUGAAGUUCAGUUCACUUGCCUCUCCCAUCAGCAAAGCCAAAGUCACAUGCAACAAACCAUGGCUCCUCAGCUGCACCGUUUAAUUUGCUGUGUGCUGGAAGCCGGGGAGUCAUCCAAAAGGAAUUCAGUUCCUCUAAUCCUCGCCUACUGCAUCAGUAACAUCUCCGCAAGCAGUGGCUCUGAACUAUGUCAAAACAGACUGUGCUAAAGAGAUCAGGAUGUUUUAUCUGGAAGUAGCUGGAUAUUCUUUCCUGCCCUUCAGUGAGAAAAGCCUGUUCCCCAUUCGCGCAUUUCACAGAAGUCUGGCCAUAGCCUUCAAAGUACAACGGCUGCGGCAGCAACAGCCCGUCAGCAACACUCACUUUUCUCAGACUUGGAAGAGGCACCGCUCCAAACAUCACUUGAGCAAUACGGGAUGAAUCUGUAAAAGAGUUGUGUGAGUGCUGCGUUCCUGCGGGGUGAGGAUGGGGUCACACGACUGAAGAAAAUUAAACCCUGGGGAGGGGAGAAGGGAAAGGCUUCUCAUCCACACAGCCCCUGACAUACCCUCCUGCACAGCCUAUACCCGUUACCUCCUAACGCUGCUGGCUUUACUGAGAUAAAUCAACAAAGAACGUGUCUUUUGUUGAUCCAGCUGAAGUGCUAUGCCAGGUGGGCAGGGCAGGGGGCUGUGAUGUUGCCCUCAGCUCCCACUGACACAGUGGUGCCUGCACAGUGAAACUGUGCUUCAAUUCUGUCACACCUACAUUGAGAAGAUGCUCAGCCGUGCAACGCUGAGUGCAGCCACCGAGGGGCCACGCAGGAAUGAUUUUACCUUCCCAAUCUGCCUACAGCUUGCAGGAUGCACGUUCACAUCCCUCUGCUUUUCCCUCCUACACAGACGCGUAGAAACGGAUCUUUCUCAUUUCUCCUCUUUGAACUAAAGGAGUGAUUCCAUGCCCCCCCCCGAGCUGGCGGACACACAACACGCCACGGGAUUUGCCACUUCAUCUAUUUGAGAAGGCUCUCAGCUACCCCAAGUCCUUCUCCAUCACCCCACGGCUCCCUGCAGAGCAGACUUGGAGCUCUCUAGUCCAGGCCGGCACAACUUCAGCUAGAUGUGUAUGGCACCCACGGAGGAAACGGGCAAUUUCCUCAUGGGGCUGUUGGCCUUAACCUGUCCCUGCAGCAUUCCUGCUACCCCAAAGCAGGAGGUAACAGCAGAAGCCAUCUCCCCGAGCAGUCUCUCUUACACCAUGUUGGCGUUCCACCAGUGGGGGUUCUCCUCCGGCUGUGACGACAGGAUCCCCGUUCCUGCAGAUGGACGCAAAGAGGGAACAUUCAGUGACACUCUGAUUUCUACGUGAGCUUCAGAGCGUGGUUUGCGUUAGGGCUGGAGCCUGCCUACAGAGCUCCAUCCAUACAGCUCCUGCAGCACAGAAAGGCCCCACGGCACAGAGAUGAGCACUUCCCUGACACCGAAUGCCCUCAGGUGAGCACCUGCAAAUGGGAGCAGUAGGAUGGGGAGGGACUGAGUGCAACCAGAAGGAAGGGAGGCUGGCAGUGCUCUGCCAGCCCCGGAGCCCCGCAGCUCUGGGUAUCGAUUCAGCUUACGUGUGACAUUAAAAAGCCAAAGGUACUUCUAUGUGCACCGAUGCAUACAGCACCGCGAUCCGAGUGGGGAAGGGGUGUACUGAGAGAAGCACAGACGCGCUUCAAAACAAGCGCCCAAACCAAGCUUUAGAAGAUCCCGGCGGGUCUGGAGCGCAUUUACAAUAAGGAGGGGACGCGAGUCGGAGUUCCGUGAGGCCGCGCUGCCCACAGCCUAACAAACACCGCUCCCCCACGUGCCCGCCGGGCGACGCUCACCCACUCUGGUCGCGGGCCACUCCUUGGAGCUCAUCAGCCUCCGCAUGGUGUCGUAGCGCGUGUCGCAGUUCUCCCUGUUGAAGCAGUACCAGCCCCCUGCGGGGCACCGCGGGUCACGCCGCGCCGCCCCCGCGCGCAGGCGCGGGCUGCCCGGAGCCGAGGGCAGGCGGCCAGCGCGGGGCCGCCCCGAGCCGCGCCCGGGCGAGGCGGCGCCGGAGGCUCACCUUCCAGGAACAGCAGCCACCGCCGACUGCCCUUCGACUCUUUGAGGACAGAGCUGGAUGGAGGCAGCGGGGAAAAGCUUCAGCUGAAGGGAUUCCAGUGGCUAACCCAGGCUCCCCUUCUUAACGACAGGAGCAACCAAAGCACCGUCCACGGCUGACUCUUCGGGAACGCGUUCAGCGCAGCAGAGGCGGUGCUGGGAGCGAAGGGAGGCUCCGGUCCGCUCUGAGGGCACACGAUGUGACGGAUCCUGGCUCCCUCCGCUCCUCCCGGCGCACACCUCAUGUGAACGGACGAGCUCGCAGCGCUGAUCGCGGGGC